UGGGGAAUUUUGGACAAUGGGCGAAAGCCUGAUCCAGCAAUGCCGCGUGUGUGAAGAAGGCCUUCGGGUUGUAAAGCACUUUUGUCCGGAAAGAAAUCCUUGGCUCUAAUACAGUCGGGGGAUGACGGUACCGGAAGAAUAAGCACCGGCUAACUACGUGCCAGCAGCCGCGGUAAUACGUAGGGUGCAAGCGUUAAUCGGAAUUACUGGGCGUAAAGCGUGCGCAGGCGGUUUGCUAAGACCGAUGUGAAAUCCCCGGGCUCAACCUGGGAACUGCAUUGGUGACUGGCAGGCUAGAGUAUGGCAGAGGGGGGUAGAAUUCCACGUGUAGCAGUGAAAUGCGUAGAGAUGUGGAGGAAUACCGAUGGCGAAGGCAGCCCCCUGGGCCAAUACUGACGCUCAUGCACGAAAGCGUGGGGAGCAAACAGGAUUAGAUACCCUGGUAGUCCACGCCCUAAACGAUGUCAACUAGUUGUUGGGGAUUCAUUUCCUAGUAACGUAGCUAACGCGUGAAGUUGACCGCCUGGGGAGUACGGUCGCAAGAUUAAAACUCAAAUGAAUUG
rnacentral:rRNA from 1 species